rnacentral:rRNA from 1 species
AACGAACGCUGGCGGCAGGCCUAACACAUGCAAGUCGAGCGCCCCGCAAGGGGAGCGGCGGACGGGUGAGUAACGCGUGGGAACGUGCCCUUUGCUACGGAAUAGCCCCGGGAAACUGGGAGUAAUACCGUAUAAGCCCUCCGGGGGAAAGAUUUAUCGGCAAAGGAUCGGCCCGCGUUGGAUUAGGUAGUUGGUUGGGUAAUGGCCUACCAAGCCGACGAUCCAUAGCUGGUUUGAGAGGAUGGUCAGCCACACGGGGACUGAGACACGGCCCAGACGCCUACGGGAGGCAGCAGUGGGGAAUCUUAGACAAUGGGCGAAAGCCUGAUCGAGCCAGGCCGCGUGAGCGAUGAAGGCCUUAGGGUUGUAAAGCUCUUUCGUGGGGGAAGAUAAUGACUGUACCCCAAGAAGAAGCCCCGGCUAACUCCGUGCCAGCCGCCGCAGUAACAC